GUGAGUUGUGACUUUAUUAUGCACAUGAUUCCAGAGUUUAUUGAAGGAUUGCUUUUUUCUUUAAUCUUGCGUUUUGACAUUUAAACUAUUUUUAUACCGCACAUUAUUAACAUAUAUAUAUAUAUAUGUAAAGGAGGACUGAGUUUUGAAAUUACAAGUACAAAAGAAUGAGUGACAUUUAGAAGCACCAUUCUGUUGACAAACAAAUGUUUAUGUAAUCACAGAAAGACAUCAAAUUAGAUCAAUUAAGUGAUUUUGAAAAAUGUUAAUCUCAUUUGCUACUGUUUGAAAGAUCUGCAUUGUUUAAAGUUUAUUCUACUUUACUCCUUAUGUUCACCUACAGGUCGGGGUGUGUUCAGUUGCCGGUGCUUUCAAAAAGGAGAUUCUUAUUGAGUACAGAGGGGAAGUCAUAAGUAGAAAGGAACAAGAAAACCGAUUGAAAAUUUACCAUGAUGCACUCGAGGCUUUUAUGUUUGAUUUCAAGUUCAAUGGACAACAGCUUUGUGUUGAUGCUGCCAGAGAGGAUGGAUCAUUGGGGAGGCUGGUAAAUGAUGAAGAGAUGAACCCAAACAGCAAAUUGAAAGUUACAAGGGUGGAUGGAAGACCUCAUCUUUGUUUAUUUGCACUCAAAGAUAUUGGUCCUGGGGAAGAAAUCACUUAUAUUUAUGGUGAUUCUGACUGGCCAUGGAGAAGAAAGGUAUUGAUAAGAGUGAAAAUUCUAUCACAAGUCAUUUUACUAGCAUUGAAGACAUUUUUGAAGGAUAUGUCAUGUUGUAGUACAGAGUUUCAUUAUAGUUGAAAACAAGAAGUGAUUAGUAGUGCCUAAAAAAACAGAUUUUGGAGAAAGACUUAAUCAGACCAAUAUUUCAACUUGGUUCAGUGCUAUCCAAAAUGCUAGAAACUGUCAUAUGUAAAUUAAUUUAUUCUAACCUUAUAUUUAUGAACAUUUUAUAGCAGGAGAUAUAUUUUGCAGUGUCAAUACACAAAGGUUCUGGUUAACAAUCAGCUGGACAGGUUCAUUCAGUAGUAGGUUUAGAAGUACGGACUCAUUCAGUGUACAUCCCUUCAUUUCAGAUUUCCAAAGAUGAACUGUGUCAGGCUGUUGACGUGGACGCAUGCGGAUCCUGUUCAACUAACCCUCCAGAGAUUUCCAAAGAUGAAAGGUGUCAGGCUGGUGACGUGGAUGCAUGCGGAUCCUGAUCAACCAACCCUCCAGAGAUUUCCAUAGAAGAACCGUGUCAGGCUGGUCAUGUGGAUGCGUACAGAUCCUGUUCAACCAACCCUCCAGAGAUUUCCAAAGAUGAGCUGUGUCAGGCUGGUGAGGUAGAUGCAUGCAGAACCUGUUCAACCAACCCUGCAGAGCACAAAGUAAACACAGAGAUGGUAAGGGGAAAGAACUCAACAGAAAACUAAAACGGAAGGACAUAGAGCCCCGCAGAAAAAUGAACACAAAUAAAAAUUCUGCAUCUCUGGAAAGUGCUAGGAGAGCAAAAAAGCAUCCAUGGUCUCCCGUAGAGGUUGCUGCGGUCAUGAGGCACUUUGGUGAACACAUCAAGAAAGGACAACUGG